AGUACUCCUACGGGGAGGCAGCAGUGGGGGAAUAUUGCACAAUGGGCGCAAGCCUGAUGCAGCCAUGCCGCGUGUGUGAAGAAGGCCUUCGGGUUGUAAAGCACUUUCAGUCGUGAGGAAGGUAGUGUAGUUAAUAGCUGCAUUAUUUGACGUUAGCGACAGAAGAAGCACCGGCUAACUCCGUGCCAGCAGCCGCGGUAAUACGGAGGGUGCGAGCGUUAAUCGGAAUUACUGGGCGUAAAGCGCAUGCAGGUGGUUUGUUAAGUCAGAUGUGAAAGCCCGGGGCGUCAACCUCGGAAUAGCAUUUGUAAACUAGGCAGACUAGAGUACUGUAGAGGGGGGUAGGAAUUUCAGGUGUAGCGGUGAAAUGCGUAGAGAUCUGAAGGAAUACCGGUGGCGAAGGCGGCCCCCUGGACAGAUACUGACACUCAGAUGCGAAAGCGUGGGGAGCAAACAGGAUUAGAUACCCUGGUAG
rnacentral:rRNA from 1 species